GAUGAACGCUAGCGGCAGGCUUAACACAUGCAAGUCGAGGGGCAGCGAGGGUAGCAAUACCUGUCGGCGACCGGCGCAAGGGUGCGUAACGCGUGAGCAACAUGCCCGUAUCAGGGGGAUAAUCCAGGGAAACUUGGUCUAAUACCCCAUAGAAAUCAUUUAAGGCAUCUUUUAUGAUUUAAAGCUUAGGUGGAUACGGAUUGGCUCGCGUGACAUUAGUUAGAUGGUAGGGUAACGGCUUACCAUGACUAUGAUGUCUAGGGGUUCUGAGCGGAAGGUCCCCCACACUGGAACUGAGAAACGGUCCAGACUCCUACGGGAGGCAGCAGUGAGGAAUAUUGGACAAUGGAUGGAAAUCUGAUCCAGCCAUGCCGCGUGCAGGAAGAAUGUCCUAUGGAUUGUAAACUGCUUUUGUAUGGGAGCAAUAAGGUCUUCGUGAAGGCCGAUGAGAGUACCAUACGAAUAAGCACCGGCUAACUCCGUGCCAGCCGCCGCGGUAAGAC
rnacentral:rRNA from 1 species